UGUCGUAUGUUGUACGGUGACAGGUGGCAGCUCCACUGGUGGUGAGCCGGCGUAAUGGACAGAAAGUAAAGACUUGUGGAACCGCUACGCUGCAUGCUUGAAACCAGUGUUAACACUGUGUGUCGACUCUACUUCAACUUUAAAAACUCAAGCACUAUAAUACUCCAUAUCAAAAGAAUGAAGAGAAAACACCAUGUGAUCAUUUCAGUUCCUGCAGAAAACGUAUUGACAAAAUCCAGAACCUUUCAUGAUAAACACAUGCGCGCACACACGCACACGCACACACGCACACACGCACACGCACACACACACGCACACGCACACACACACACACACACAACUAGAAAUAGGAGGGAAACUCCUCAAGCUGAGAAAGGACACCCGUGGACAACUCACAGCUCACGUGAUGACACCCCAUGGUGAAAGGCUGAGCGCUUUCCCCCCAAGACCCAGAACACGGCGACGAGACGGUGUGCGCUCACUCCACGUACGUCCAGCAUCGGACUGAAGCUCCAAUCUGGGCAACAAGGCAAGAAAAUGGGGGCAUCCAGAUCGGAAAGGAAAAAGUGAAACUAUCGCUACAUGCAGAUAACACCACCUUGUAAUGGGAAAUCUUAACCAAACCUCUGAAGAGAUGGAAGAGAUUAGCAAGAUUGCCGGUGACAAAGUCAAAUCACGCAAAUCACCAGCAACGAGCACCCUACGAUAUAACCGCAAAAACAAUUCCGUUUACGCUAGUGUCAUGACCAUGAGAUGCUUGGUAAGAAAUCUAACCACAGACACGCAAGACUUGUGUGCUGGAAGCUACAGAACGUUGCCGAAAGGAAUUAAACAGAAAUGGACAAGCGGAUCCUAAAAUUCACAUACGAUCAUCAGGCCAAAACAAUCUGGAAAACUCAGAACAAAGUUGGAGGCCUACACUUCGUUACUUCAAAACUUCCUAACUAGCUGUGGUAAUCCAGAGAGUGUGGCACCGGCGUGAGGACAGAACAGAAUUUAGAGUCUAGUAAUAAACCUAUAUUCUAGGAUCAACUGACUUUCAACAAGGGGGCCAACACCUUUCCAAAAUGGCUCUGGACUGGACAACUGAUAUCCACCUGGGAAGGGAUGACGCUGAACCUUUAUCUUACAAACCACACAACUAUUAACUCAAAAUGUUUCAAAGACCCCAUAGAAGAGCUAAAACUACAGAACCGUUAGACAGAAAUAGAAGUAUAAAUUUUUAUGACCUUGGAUUAGGCAACGGGCUUCUUAAAUACGAGACAAGCAACAAACAAAAACAGAUAAAUCACAGGUCGGCAAAUUAAAACGGUUGUGCCUCGGAGCACACUCUCAAGAAAGUGCGAAGGCGACCAGCAAAAUAGGGAAUUCCUGUAUCCAACAGGGGACUGGUGUUCAGAAUAUGAAAGAACUGUUACAAUUCAACCACAACGAGAUGAACAGCCCGGUGAGUGAAAGGACCAACACUUGCCCAGACAUUCUGCAGGCCCACGCGGAGCAGAGAGGCAUGCUCACGCAGCACUCACCAAAGACCCGUGUGCCACAGGACACAGCACAGACAAUCAGUGGGACAGCUCUAAUUGGAGAAAUGGAAGCUGUCAUCCAUGCUGGUGGAAACAGGCUGGCAGCUCCUCAGAACGUUCUGAUGUGACUCAGUCCUUCCACGCCUGGGAAUGCACCGCAGGGCAGUAAAAACAUGUUCACACAAAAACUUGCACACAAGGGUUUCCCACAGCAUUAUGCAUAAGAGCCAAAAGAAUGUCCGUAAAUUGGUGACUAAAUAAGCAAAUACAUGAUACCCUUAUAGUACAAUAUCCAUCAAAAGGAAGGCAGUUCUGAUUAGCGCAGUGAUGUGGAUGAGCCCUGAGUGCAUGCGCUCAGCGAGGGGAGGCAGGCUGGAGACCGAGUCUUGCAGGCGUGCACUUACUCGGAACGAGUGACAGAAGGGAAAUCCAACCACACGGAAAGUGGAGAGGCCCUUCUAGGAAGUAGGGUUCAGCAGAUGUGGGCCCUGCUUCAUGAGUGCCUGGUUUCGUUUGCCAUGGGGAGAACACGCGGGGUCACGUGCUUGUGAGAGCUGCACGCACCAAGAAAUACGAAAAGCCACGGAAAUCGUGCACUUUCGUGGGGUAAAAUGGCAAACUUUUGUGUUAUGCAAAUUUUACCUGGUUAAAAACUUAAAUCCUAUUCCCUUUAAAUUAAAUAAACGAGAGUAAAUGGGG